rnacentral:rRNA from 1 species
CCUACGGGUGGCACCAGUGGGGAAUAUUGGACAAUGGGCGAAAGCCUGAUCCAGCAAUGCCGCGUGAGUGAUGAAGGCCUUAGGGUUGUAAAGCUCUUUUACCCGGGAUGAUAAUGACAGUACCGGGAGAAUAAGCUCCGGCUAACUCCGUGCCAGCAGCCGCGGUAAUACGGAGGGAGCUAGCGUUAUUCGGAAUUACUGGGCGUAAAGCGCACGUAGGCGGCUUUGUAAGUUAGAGGUGAAAGCCUGGAGCUCAACUCCAGAAUUGCCUUUAAGACUGCAUCGCUUGAAUCCAGGAGAGGUGAGUGGAAUUCCGAGUGUAGAGGUGAAAUUCGUAGAUAUUCGGAAGAACACCAGUGGCGAAGGCGGCUCACUGGACUGGUAUUGACGCUGAGGUGCGAAAGCGUGGGGAGCAAACAGGAUUAGAUACCCUAGUAGUC